AUCCACNUGGGGAGUACGCCGGCANCGGUGAAACUCAAAGGAAUUGACGGGGGCCCGCACAAGCGGAGGAACAUGUGGUUUAAUUCGAUGAUACGCGAGGAACCUUACCCGGGCUUGAAAUGCAUCUGACCGCUUAAGAAAUUAGGCUUCUAGCAAUAGCAGAUGUGUAGGUGCUGCAUGGUUGUCGUCAGCUCGUGCCGUGAGGUGUCGGCUUAAGUSCCAUAACGAGCGCAACCCACAUUGUUAGUUACUAACAGGUUAAGCUGAGGACUCUGACAAGACUGCCAGCGUAAGCUGUGAGGAAGGUGUGGAUGACGUCAAAUCAGCACGGCCCUUACGUCCGGGGCGACACACGUGUUACAAUGGAUGGUACAGAGGGUCGCUACCUAGUGAUAGGAUGCUAAUCUCAAAAGCCAUUCCCAGUUCGGAUUGGAGUCUGCAACUCGACUCCAUGAAGCUGGAUUCGCUAGUAAUCGCGCAUCAGCCAUGGCGCGGUGAAUACGUUCCCGGGCCUUGUACACACCGCCCGUCAAGCCAUGGAAGCUGGGGGUACCUGAAGUACGUAACCGCAAGGAGCGUCCUAGGGUAAAACUAGUAACU
rnacentral:rRNA from 1 species